rnacentral:rRNA from 1 species
CAGUACCCUCAGGAAGAGAAAACAACCGUGAUUCCGGGAGUAGUGGCGAGCGAAACCGGAUGAGGCCAAACCGUAUGCGUGUGAGACCCGGCAGGGGUUGCGCAUGCGGGGUUGUGGGAAUGAGCUUUCACAGUCUGCCGGCUGUGAGGCGAGUCAGAAACCGUAUGGAUAGGCGAAGGACAUGCGAAAGGUCCGGCGUAGAGGGUAAGACCCCCGUAGCUGAAAUCUGUACGGCUUGCUUGCUCAUCUCCCAAGUAGCACGGGGCCCGAGAAAUCCCGUGUGAAUCUGGCGGGACCACCCGCUAAGCCUAAAUAUUCCCUGGUGACCGAUAGCGGAUAGUACCGUGAGGGAAUGGUG